rnacentral:rRNA from 1 species
AUUGAACGCUGGCGGCAUGCCUUACACAUGCAAGUCGAACGGCAGCGCGGGAGCAAUCCUGGCGGCGAGUGGCGAACGGGUGAGUAAUAUAUCGGAACGUGCCCAGUAGUGGGGGAUAGCCCGGCGAAAGCCGGAUUAAUACCGCAUGAGACCUGAGGGUGAAGGCGGGGGAUCGCAAGACCUCGCGCUAUUGGAGCGGCCGAUAUCAGAUUAGCUAGUUGGUGGGGUAAAGGCCUACCAAGGCAACGAUCUGUAGUUGGUCUGAGAGGACGACCAGCCACACUGGGACUGAGACACGGCCCAGACUCCUACGGGAGGCAGCAGUGGGGAAUUUUGGACAAUGGGCGCAAGCCUGAUCCAGCAAUGCCGCGUGCAGGAAGAAGG